rnacentral:lncRNA from 10 species
CUGAGGAAGGGGUAUGGAGCGCGAGAUGGGGGUGGCAGAGGGGAGAUCACAGGAGAGCAGGUGGGGCAGGCUCAGACCAGCUCCCCAUGUGUCGGGGUGCAGGAGGGGCAGCAGUGGCCGUGCACAGCGGGAGGGCGGUGUUUGGGGUGGACUGAAGGUGCCGAGCUCCAGCCCCGCUGUGUGGGACGCACUCAGCCUUUAAGGUGCUGCACCUGCACUUGCGCAGCAAGGAGCGAGCGUCACAGAAGCCAGUGCAGCCGGCCAGGGAGGACAGGGCAGAAAGCCACGAGGACAGGACCUGCGGGCAGCUGGCGGAGCCAGGCCAGACCAGACGCUGCCGGCUUUGAAGAGCGGCUCGGCCGCGGCCACGCGCGCCCGGCGUCAACGGGGCGUCUGACGUUUUCCUUUGUUUUCUUUUGUUCGAGAAGCCGGAAGUUUAGACUUUUACAUUUGGGUAAAACGCUCCAGUGUUUGGGUGUCGGUGGCUGCGUCGCUGCGUCAGUCAGUCACUCGGUGGCAACAGCAGCAGCAGAGGCGCCCACCUGGCUGAGCAGAGAGACACGGUACUCACGGCGGGUGUGGGGGGCACAAGGCGCUCACAGAGGCCCCAGAGAACCGGCUCAGAGGCCAGCAGGGCAGAAGGGGGAGUCAGCCGGGUGAGCAGCUCUGCGCCCCGCCGGCCCCCACACCGACCACAGCAGAGGAGACCGGCGGCCUCACUCCCCGCGCCGGCCCCAGAGCCCCGCCCGUGCAGGUGCAGUAGGGCCCGGGGCACAGGCGCGGGGGAGCCGGCAGGGAUGGCUGCGCCCAGCCAACGGCAGCAGGACCACGAACACCCCACUGCACCCCGUUCCAUGAGGGCAGCUUCCUGUGAGCCAGACACGGCCCUGUCCAAGGGAUCCUACCGCCCCGGCCCAGGCCACGCCCCAAGGAACGCCCUGUGGGUGGUGCUGAGCGGCACAGUCCCCAGGCCCCGCGGCCGGCCCUGCAUUCGCUCUCUCGUGCCUUCCCUGGGGGAAACGCCCAGCCUGGCAGCACAGAACCUUUAGUUACACAGGCCUGAGUUUGAGGUCCGGGGAAUGGGAAAGUGAAACGUGAUCGCUGAACCUGCGUCUCCCAUGUUCACACUAUGUCCAGCAGUGAAAGUCCAUCGAGCCUCCGACCCAAGCAACAGGCAUUCUUCUACCCUUCCCCUGGCUGGCCUCCCUUCCCACCUCACAACGCUCACAUGAAUAAAGCGUGUCCCUCAUGCCACUAGAAGAGCUCAGCCUGGGCCACAGCCCCCUCUUGGUGGCCCUGGAGAGGCCUCCUCUCCAAGAACACCAGCCCACCAUGGUCCUCUGAGGACGCAGGGCCAGACACCAAGCGGGCAGGUGGCACGGAAAGAAAAUAUCGCAAGCUCUGUUCGCCUAAAAAUAUCGCUCUUCUAAGGUGAAUGCAGAAGAAUUUUCAUGUAUAUGACUGACCUUCACAAAUCCAGCCAGCAUUAGCCCAUCAAGCACUGAACACAUUUAUCUAGAAUUUAAACAAUUUUACUUAUUCUGCAAGCUGAGAUCCUCUUUACUUAAAACUGUUUGUCAUAUAGAUGAAGGGACCCGUCAGACAGAACAUUUUAUUUGGUUAAAAAUUGGAUGGCAUACAUAUUUACACAGUAUUAGUGGGACAGAAAUGACCGUUUUGAAGUAUGCCCUCAGCCAUGGCUGCUGGCCAUGGGCUCCAGCCGGCCACGCCCUGCAGGUCCCCAUCGUUAAGCUCAUCCUGGUUCAGAAUCAAAGGUUAAUAUUUAAGUGGCUUUUCAAUUUGUGUAUUCAAAGAUAGUAUUAUGACCUGUAAGCUACAGAAACAUUCUCAUAUCCUUUAAGCCUUGUUCACACAGAGAAACUGUAUCUAAAAUUCUAAAAAGUUCUAUUAAUCACAAUGGUAAUUUUUAAAGCUUAGAAAGAAGAGGAAAAGACAUCACCUGUAGGUCUGUUACCCAGAAACGGCCAACACCCCACCGGUGCCCUGAGUUCAUCCCGUGCCCAUGCCGAGGCCUGGUUUGCUCCGGGUCCUGUCGCCAGGACACUGGACACUGCAGCUGGGCAGCUGCAGACCCUCCCUGUACUUUCUCCACCCAGGGUCGGGCAUCGGGGUUGUGGAGGGACAGGCAGAUGGGAGAGGGCAGGGGUGAGACUCAGGGCUGGGCCCUGGGUUAGAAUCUCUGGCUCCCUCACUUUUUGGCAAGGGUCCAGGCACCUGUGCCUCAGUUUACUCAUCUGUGCAGAGAGCAGUCAUCGCGCCCAGCACAGAAGGCUGUUGAAAGGAUUGGACAAGUUAAAUGAUGGAAAUGGCUCAGAUGUUUAUGCACCAGUGCCACAGAUGUCCCAGAUCCAUGUAACUAUCAGUCUAAUGCUACCGUUACCACUCUUAAAAGUAUUUCAGAUAAUGAAAUAAAACAGACUUUCCAGAUUCUGACAUGAUGUAAAAAGGCAUCCGUAGGGAUCACUGACCUGAGGUUUCUGGAGAUGAGCCUGGCCCUGCCAUGACACAGGUGGGGUCAUGAUGCAGAGGACAGCCACCUGCAGCUGCCACCACCUGACAGGAUACAGGACAGUCACCCCCACCUGUCACCACCACGGAGGACAGAGGGGACAGCCACCCCCACCUGUCACCACUUGAGAGGACACAGGACAGCCACCCCCACCUGUCACCACCUGACAGGACACAGAGGGCUUCUGGGAACCACUUGUGUUGUCUGUGUGUCCAAAGGGCGUGAAAGGACAGCCCAGUGACUGUUGCCUGCACAGAAAUGAUGCCCUUGAGACCGGAGGCCCAGGACACCUGCCCCUGAUGGGCUCAGCGCUGAUGGGCUCAGCGCUGAUGGGCUCAGCGCUGGGCUUGAGAGCAGGAGUGUGUCCUGCUUCUGCAUGUGUGUUCUGAGCAGAGUCCCUUUCCUGCGUGGCUGCCAGGACACUCAAAGCCACUGCUGAGCUCAGGUUCAGUGAUGGAGUGGAGCUGUCGUUUCCUCCUGUGUGGUAGCCAUACUCCCAAGGCCCCCCACCUCCUGUUGGUGACACCCUUGUUUGGUGUCCCGGCGAUAACCAUAUUCUAACCCACAGAACACAGCAAAGUGGAGUGGAGGAAUGUGAUUGUGUUACACAGGAUUGCAAUGCCCAUUUCUUUGGAACCUGGCCCUCCCCUGUGGCUUUGAGGAAGCACAUGGCUGGGCCGGGGAGCCCCAGGUGACACGAACAGCAGGUGGCCUCUGGAAGCUCACGCAGCCUCUGACCAGCAAGGAAGUGAAGUCCCGAGUCCACAGCAGCAGGGCCCGGGAUCCUGCCAAUAUCCCAAGGAGCAGAACCCAGGUGGACCCUGGCCCACGGGAGCCUUGAGUGAGACGGUAGCGGUCUGACGUCCGCGCUGCACUGAGUCUCACCCCAUCGCCCAGGCUACAGUGCAAUGUCGCCAUCUUGGCUCACUACAACCUCCUGGGAUCAAGCGAUUCUCCUGCCUCAGCCUCCCGAGUAGCUGGGAUUACAGGCGCCCGC